GGACAGAGCCAGAGCCCCCAGCUCUGGCUCUCCUCUAUUACCAAGGACUGGAGAUUUAAGAUGUAAGAAUAAUUGGAUAUCGGUAUACAAAUUCAACUUCUUAAUCACAUAGAUGGGACAAGAUAUAAAUCCAAAUGUUAUCCUUGGACCAAGCCAUCUGUUUUCUAAAACUCGUCGACAACACUG